AGCUAGUGUAGCUCAACUGGUAGAGCAACUGAUUUGUAAUCAGUCGGUUGUGGGUUCAAGUCCUAUCACUAGCUA
rnacentral:tRNA from 1 species